rnacentral:rRNA from 1 species
UACACUCCUACGGGAGGCAGCAGUGGGGAAUUUUGGCCAAUGGGCGAAAGCCUGAUCCAGCAAUGCCGCGUGAGUGAAGAAGGCCUUCGGGUUGUAAAGCUCUUUUGUCAGGGAAGAAACGGUGAAAGCUAAUAUCUUUUGCUAAUGACGGUACCUGAAGAAUAAGCACCGGCUAACUACGUGCCAGCAGCCGCGGUAAUACGUAGGGUGCAAGCGUUAAUCGGAAUUACUGGGCGUAAAGCGUGCGCAGGCGGUUUUGUAAGUCUGAUGUGAAAUCCCCGGGCUCAACCUGGGAAUUGCAUUGGAGACUGCAAGGCUAGAAUCUGGCAGAGGGGGGUAGAAUUCCACUUGUAGCAGUGAAAUGCGUAGAUAUGUGGAGGAACACCGAUGGCGAAGGCAGCCCCCUGGGUCAAGAUUGACGCUCAUGCACGAAAGCGUGGGGAGCAAACAGGAUUAGAAACCCUUGUAGUCCCAUGA